rnacentral:rRNA from 1 species
CGGGCGAGGCGCCGGUCUAAGUCCCUUGGAACGGGGCGUCAGAGAGGGUGAGAAUCCCGUACGCGACCGGCGACCGAGCCUAUGUGAAACCCCUUCGACGAGUCGAGUUGUUUGGGAAUGCAGCUCAAAACGGGUGGUAAAUUUCAUCUAAAGCUAAAUACCGGCCAGAGACCGAUAGCGCACAAGUAGAGUGAUCGAAAGAUGAAAAGCACUUUGGAAAGAGAGUCAAAAAGUACGUGAAAUUGUUGAAAGGGAAGCGCUUGCAACCAGACCUGCCCGCGGGUGAUCAGCCGUCCUUCUGGGCGGUGCACUCGCCCGCGAUCAGGCCAGCAUCGGUUCGGGCGGUCGGAUAAAGGCCUCGGGAACGUGGCUCCCCUCGGGGAGUGUUAUAGCCCUUGGUGUAAUGCGGCCCGCCCGGACCGAGGACCGCGCUUCGGCUAGGAUGCUGGCGUAAUGGUUGUAAGCGGCCCGUCUUGAAACACGGACCAAGGAGUCGACCAACUAUGCGAGUGUUUGGGUGUCAAACCCACACGCGCAAUGAAAGUGAACGGAGGUGGGAACCCCUCGCGGGGCGCACCAUCGACCGAUCCAGAUGUCUUCGGAUGGAUUUGAGUACGAGCAUAGCUGGUCGGACCCGAAAGAUGAUGAACUAUGCCUGAAUAGGGUGAAGCCAGAGGAAACUCUGGUGGAGGCUCGCAGCGGUUCUGACGUGCAAAUCGAUCGUCAAAUUUGGGCAUAGGGGCGAAAGACUAAUCGAAUCAUC